UACGUAGGGUGCGAGCGUUGUCCGGAAUUAUUGGGCGUAAAGAGCUCGUAGGCGGUUUGUCGCGUCGACUGUGAAAACUGGGGGCUUAACUCUCAGCUUGCAGUUGAUACGGUCAGACUUGAGUUCGGUAGGGGAGACUGGAAUUCCUGGUGUAGCGGUGAAAUGCGCAGAUAUCAGGAGGAACACCGGUGGCGAAGGCGGCUUGCUGGGCCAGUUCUGACGCUGAGGAGCGAAAGCGUGGGGAGCGAACAGG
rnacentral:rRNA from 1 species